rnacentral:rRNA from 1 species
GCUUAUCGGCCAUACCACCCUGAGCACGCCGAUCUUGUCUGAUCUCGGAGGCUAAGCAGGGUCGGGCCUGGUUAGUACUUGGAUGGGAGACCGCCUGGAAAUACCAGGUGCUGUAAGCG